AGCGAACGCUGGCGGCAGGCCUAACACAUGCAAGUCGAGCGCCCGUAGCAAUACGGGAGCGGCAGACGGGUGAGUAACACGUGGGAACGUACCCUUCGGUUCGGAAUAACCCAGGGAAACUUGGACUAAUACCGAAUACGUCCGUAAGGAGAAAGAUUUAUCGCCGAAGGAUCGGCCCGCGUCCGAUUAGCUAGUUGGUGGGGUAAUGGCCCACCAAGGCUACGAUCGGUAGCUGGUCUGAGAGGAUGANCAGCCACACUGGGACUGAGACACGGCCCAGACUCCUACGGGAGGCAGCAGUGGGGAAUCUUGCGCAAUGGGCGAAAGCCUGACGCAGCGACGCCGCGUGAGGGAUGACGGCCUG
rnacentral:rRNA from 1 species